rnacentral:lncRNA from 1 species
CUCUCUAGCAAAAUUCCUGCCGAUAUUACAACUUUGAGAAGCUUGGUGCAGUUGAGCUUGUCAAACAAUGCAUUGUCUGGCAGAAUUCCAGACCUCUCCGCAUUGUGGCAGCUGAGCACAUUGGAUCUUUAGUAGGAACAAUCUAGAUGGAAUUGUGCCCAAUCUUCCAAUGAACUUGAAGAGAAUUGUCCCUGAGCCAUAAUUUACUAUCAGGACACAUUUCACCUGUGAGCGUCCUCCAACACCUCACAGUACUAGAUUUGAGUGAUAACAGGUUUUCAGGUCUCAUUCAUCGGGAAAUUCUCACUUUGCCUCUGGUGGAACGCCUUAACAUCUCAAAUAAUCAAUUCACGGAAAUGGAGCCAAUGCCAUACCCUAGGGAAGGUUUACAGCUUCGUGUGCUGGACGCACACGCUAACAGGUUGCAUGGUCAUCUGCCCAUCAGCUUGGUUAAUAUAACGAAUUUAUCAUCAAUUGAUCUAUCCCAUAAUCUGUUCUCUGGACGAAUCCCACUAGAAUAUGGAGCCAAACUGAGGAGUUCAUGGAAAAGCUUGCUCUUAGAAGACAAUUUUCUGACAGGAAAUCUUCCACCGCAGUUUUUUAACGGGACAGUGGCAGUUAGAGCCAACCUUGCCCACAAUUGCUUAAGGUGUCCACCAAACAUUCGGUUUUGCAGAGGGGGCAAAGGGCAAACACAGAGUGUGUCGAGCAGCAAGAUCACAGCACUUGAGAAGUUACUGAUAAUUCACAACGGUUCAUCAUAAAAAUUCCAUGUACUCGAGCUUAUAAUAAAGUCCAGAGAGGCAAGCUUCCACUUCCUAAUCAGUGGUUCCAGCAAAGGAGAAGGUGUCAUAAUCUGUACUCUUCAUUAAUGCAUUUCAAGUGUUGAACAAAUGUCCAUUUAUCCAUAGGAUAAAUUUAUUAUCUGUAAUGUUGAAACUUAUAUUUUCUCAACACAUCAAACAACACUUUCCCAGAUUUCAAAGUGGAUGAAAAGAGCAGUGGAUUCACAUGCUUAUCAGCAAAAACAAUCACCUCGAAAUCAGCUAAUAUACCAAAAAAAUUUGAUAUUUCAUAACUCUACAAAUACAUGUUUCUACAACAUAACAGAGCAGUUUAGAGAAACCAAUUGACACUAACAUUGCCAAGCCAUGCAAAAAAUGGGAACUGAACCAAAGCGAUGAGGAGCAAGAGAAAAUGGUGUCUGCUAGAAUCAAAGCUCCUCACCUCUGCAAAAAGUACUCUCUUCAUUGUCUUCACCAAGAAAAUUCCCAUGCAUAAGCAGGCACAUGGCAUCAAAAUGUAGUAAGAGUAUCCAGAUAAGAUCUUUCCAAGGACAGCAAAACAGAUGCCUGUGAAGGUAUACCCAGCAUAUGCAACAAUGUCUAACAAGGGCGCCUCCCCAUUACCCAAUGAAAGGAGUAUCAUUUUGAGCAAUGCAACCUGCAUAAACCAGCCGAGCAAUCCCUUGACAAAAAGCCAAUUGAGAGCUUCUGGGCUAAAUCUGGAAUCAAAUGGAAUUAAACUUCAGAGCUCAGAGCAUGAAAUUAAUUUCCAAAUUAAAGAUAAAGAAAGUUGAAGUUCAAUGAUGUGAUCCAAUUCCAGAUAUUUUUUGGCUGGUUUGGACAAAGCAUCCUGUCCAGACCAGCCACAGCCAAUUGAUAGCUUCUGGGCUAAACCUAGCAUCAAAUGGAAUUAACUUGCUCUCAGAUAAAUGAAAUUAAAGGCAAAAGAAAAUGAAAUAGAAGAUCUGGUGGAACCAAAGAUGUAACGCAACUAAUGGUUCAUCAGGCUGAGAAAUUACUUGCUUUAUUAAAGCUUACUGAUACAAGCACACAUAUCCCUGGACGCACACAAAAAUUAUGGAAGAGGAAGAACAAUAUGAAAGACAAAGAAGCUGGAGUGCAGGAUCAGGGGAUGAGAGUGAUAACAUUAAGCAACACUGUCACUCACAAUUGCCAACAUAUGAUUACUGCAACUAGGGUUAACAGAGGUGAUAUUCAUAGAUGCAUCCAACACAGAAAAGUGAUCAAGCUUGCUGGCACAUGUAGUAGUUAUUAAGGUUAAGCUGGGUUGACUAGAGAAUAUAAUCUACUUACUUUCCAUUAAGUCCCAACGACAAGCCAGCAAGAACAACAUAGGUACCAAAUGCCAUGAAUGGAAUGUACAAGUCUGGUGCAUUUAUAUCAUAGAUUGGGGGUUUAUAGGAAAGCCUGCCUCCUACUGGCUCGGUUAUCCUCGUCCAAUGUCCCUGAGAAAAGCAUGGUAAGGACAAAAGUUCACGACAAUAUGAAAAAAAUGGUGGGCUAGAAAAAAGCAUUAGAUUAGAUAUGUUACCCUGUGCAGAAAUGGAAACAAAACAACCUUCAGUUUGUUCCUCACAUAGUGGUCAUUCACUUGGAAAUAGUACUGUGGAUCAGAGAAGUAUCUACUUAUCUGUUUAUUUAAAAGAAAAUGUCAGUUAAAAUCACAUAGUUAUCAAACAAAAGUACAACAAUCUAAUCUUCCCAAGAAUGAAAUGUUGAAAUGGGAAUAGAAAAUUUUAUCUUUCUUUUCAAUGAAAAAAUUUCUAAAAUGAACCCAUAACAUUUAUGUAAAGAGGAAUGAAUUGGUGCAAUGCCAGUGGUUUAAAGACAUUGGCAUGAGGUUUCAAGGUGUCCAACAUAAAUCACAUCUGAACUGCAUGCUUAACCAGAACGGAAGCAUUUGGCUAACAGCAAGCUUAAACCACAAUGAUUUGACAUAAAAGCCUCAGAAUGCUACUUACAUUGCUUUGUACAUACUCAGAACUUGAGCCCAAAAUUUUCUCUCCAUAUGCACCCAGCCCACUUUUCAUGAGUCCUGAACCAGCUCCGUAGAAGGAAUUCCCGAAUGGAUUGGGCUGGGGGUUGGAUGGAGGUCUUGGCACCCCAGGCUGAGGUCCCACAUUGUUAUACAUUUCUGCACUUAGGAGCGAAAAAAAUCAGAACAAAUUUGUUUCCAUAAGAACUGCUCGUUAGCACUGAAUGUCUCUUAGCUGAGUCAAUCAAGCACUGAUUACUAAUGGAUGCUUAAAUUCUAAUUUUUUUCAGAAACCAAUUAAAUCCAUAAGGUCAUUCAAAUAAAAUAGAAGAAAAGUUUCAAGCUCAACAGGGAACAACUGAUCUCAGUUAAUAUUAUUAAGAAAGAGGAUGACUUAUGCAUCCUUAAAAUGAAACUGUUAACUUGAGGCUUAUGAAGUUUCAUAUAAUACUAAAAUCAAAAUACAUUCUCCUCCAUCUACUGCAUAUUCUCAUGGUUUAAUUGGCAUAUGGACCAUCUUCCAAAUACCCCCCCCCCUCCACCACUAUCCAAUCACCAGUAUAUACAGCCCUGGAAAAGAUAUAACUUACAAUCUGACCAUGUCCCAAGCAACCGACAUGGACUCAGGAUCUCAUGUGGAGUUCAUGAAACAAAAGGCAAAAGGGAGGUUCUCAGUACAUCCAUUGUUUGUAAAAACACAGCCCCACCUCCAUCCACAGUCAAAAUCCUCACGCAUCCUAUAUUCCUAAACAUAUUCCUCUUUCUUUCUAAACAAUUAAACACCGUCACUAAACCUCCCAAAACUCUCCUGCCAAUCCAAAACACAUCAAGCACCUAGCAGCACCUCCUUCAACUUCUCCAACAAUUGACAUCAUACACCACAACUAAAAAAAAAUUAACCUACCCAAAACAGCAUGCCUACAAGACCCAUUUACCGAUCCUCUUCAGAAACCAAACUAAUCACUCAAAGGCAACUAAAAACUUCUUUUUCAUCCAUGAAUCCUCUAUAGUUCCAGACUUUUCCAAUAAAAAUAAUAAAACCACCUCUCUAUGGCCCAUCACGAAACUCCCUCAAUGACACAAAAUCUUAACAACCCAUUUUAAUAAAUCCCAAGAAAUUCUUAAACCCCGAAUCCCAUCAAAAUCACAGCACAAGCACGUACCAUUCAAUCAAUCUACCUAAUCUAUUUGCAUUAAAACAUACACACAAACGCAUAUAGAAAAAUACAGUUAAGCAUGGAUCGAAGAAUAUGACCUGGAGCCGGAGAUUUAGGUGGUGUUUUCUGGCGAUCGUAUCUUGGGAUUACCGGUGAUGGGAUUUUAUUCUAAAAAGGAACCGGGGAAAAGAAAACUAUGGAUGCAAGUAACGGUUUGUGGAUUCUGGAGAAGGAAUGGGAAUUAUGUAAUGGUGGUGGCACGUGCUGUGCACGUGCAAAGGAGCGUUGGUUCUUUUUCUUUAUAUAUUUAACUAAUUUUCUUUGCAUCAUUGGGCCAAUUAGGGAUUGACAAGUAAUGGGUCGGAGCUCCAAAUUUAAAGGUGAGAGUUUUUAACAAUCUAUUAGCUUGACAACUGCCCUCCGCCGUAGUUGGAAUCAUAUUAUUUUUUAAAAACAUAACCCAAAAAAAUAUUCAAGAAAUAUUUUAUAUUAUUAUUAAAUUUAAUUUAAUGUGUCAUUCUCAAAUUUUUUUAUUAGACAUUUAAAAUUAAAUUGUAUAAAAAUUAUUUUAAUGUGAUCCAAAUAAUUUAGCUAGUUUAUAGAUAAUAAUAGACCCAAUAAGAAAUUAAUUAAAUAUAAAGAUUUAAUUAAACUUUUAAUUAGUCAAAUUAAUUUUAUUAAAAACUUAAUCAAUGAAAUAUGAAGUUUGAAAAUUUAAUUUAAAUUUAAUUGAUAAAAAAAGUUUAACUUAUACAAGCUUAAUCGGUUGAAAAGAGAAACAAAAUUGGAAAAAAAAUAAAAGUUUGGAGGUUAAUUAGGUGUUAAAUUGAAGAAUUUUGAAACCAAUGAUCAAUAUGUAAAACAACAUAAACAUUUAAGGGUUCAAUCAAAGAAAGCCAAGGGUGAAAUUGAAAGGGAUUCAAAAAAUUAGUGCUACUUGGGGGUUUCAUUACAAAAUUCCAAAGAUUUAGGGAUCAAAUUAAACAAUACCAUAAUUUCACUAUUCAUCUUCUUCUUCUCAUUUAAACAAGAAAAAAGGAUGUUCGAGUGCUCUCCUUCCGGCUCUAAUUUCUUCCUCAUCUAUUCACCAUUACAAAAUUCCAAAGAUUUAGGGAUUAAAAAAUUAGUUCUAAUUGAGGGUUUCAUUACAAAAUUCUAAAGGUUUAAGAAUCAAAUUAAAAAAUACCAUAAUUUUACUAUUCAUCAUCUUCUUCUCAUAUAAACAAGAGAAAAAGAUGUUCAAGUGCUCUCCUUCCAGCCCUAAUUUCUUCCUCAUCUCUUCACCAUUCCACACAAAUCUUAUAAAAACAUAUGCUCAGGUAUUUGUUCUUUACUCUAAACUAAAAUUCGAGCUCUUAUAACAUUUAAAAGACCAGCAAAUUCUCUCCCAAAACAUUACCCAGCAUGCUCUACCUGCAAAAAUAAUCUUGUAUUUUCCGUUGUCAAUUUCUCAACAUAAGGAUCGACAUUCCAUUAACCCAUGAAUGGCAAUACUAGUCUCAGCUAAGAAGUCACACCAACACCAGCACACCUGUGACUUCAUCUUCUCCAUUCAUAGCAGCUACAACGACAAGUCAUAGCAAUACUAGUUCAGCCGAGAGCCACGUCAAACAACAGCAAAGUCUUCAAACCGUGAGCAGCCACUGUGUAAUGGCAGUUCAACCUUCACCUCCUCUACACUGUGAGCAACAGUACUAGAGGGUCUUUUUCAUCAGCCGUCAACGGUCACGAUGCAACUGCUUCCUUCAAGUAGCAGUAGCAGAGUAACAGCUGGUUUUUUCCUCUCCAUCAUAGCAACAACAGAGGUUUACGGUUCUUCUCUAAGCCCUAAACAGCAAUGGAAGCAAACGCAUCCUCUGUGCAGUCGUGAGCCUCCAGGUAUAACCCUUCCUUUUCUUGUUACGAUACUGCAUGCUUAGAUGGACUGUGUUCUCUUUAGUUAAGAUCCUAGUUUGAAACUGGCAAAAACAUGAAUAGGAGAACCAUUUCCAUUUGGCUGGAAAAUGCGUGUUUCUGGGUAAAUAUGAAUGCUGGGGAUGUAGGUAAAUUGAGAGUUUUUGGGUGCAGAUCCUUUAUCAUUAUUAUGGUUAAUGUCUUCUUGUUUGAUGGGCUGCUAUUUAAGGCUUGGGUAUUUUGAGUUAUUUGUUUUGGAUGGGCUGGGCAAUUUGAAAUAUUUGAAUAAAUUUUAUGGGCUGUUUUGAAUUUUAGGUUGGAUAAACUAUUGAGGCUUUUGGUCAAGGCCUGGUCUGUGUGGAUAGGUUGAGCCCUUCAACCUGUUGUCCUGAAAUUUUAUAAUGAAAAAACAUAUUUUUGUAUUUUAGAAUGUGUUUGAUAAACAUGUCCUAACAAAUUUUUGAUAAUUAUUUUUGCUGAUUUGUUUGUGUUUUUGUCAAAUAAACCUUAAAUAAUUUCAAGACAAUUCUAAAAAAAAAAUCUUGUAGUAUACGUUAGGAUUUCUAGUGAUCAAAAUAUUAGAUGAUGGCUCCAUUUUUUUUUUACUGAUAAGAAACAAGAAUUUCUUAUUUUUUUAACCCAUCACCAUAAAGAUCCCGACUUGAGAGGACAAUCAACACAAUGCCAAACACAUGCGAUAGUCAGGACAAAGGGGCAAAAUUGUAUUUGGAAGGCGAUUUGAUCCUUUCAAGGUAAAAGUGAAUAAUGAACACUUCUAGCAACAAGACUAGAAAUAAUGAGUGAUUCACUCAAAUUGAUCAGUAAGAAAGAGAAUUUACUAGAUCAUGAUAGGCACUAUAAAAACUGACAUGUGUAAAAUUAAAAAUAUUGUGGAAAAGAUUUAUAUAGAAUAGUUGGAGUGAGAUGAAGUUAAGUGAUUAUGAGAAGUCGGAUCAGAAAUAUUAGACCUCACCAAUCAAGCAAAAAAAGAUUAAGAAGAAAUGGGGGGUUUAUAUUUCAAAUCAGGUAAAGAUGCAUGUUGUCUAAUUCCAAAGUAUCGAACAAUUUUUUUACAGAAAAUUUACAAGAAAAAUCCCUGCGGAAUCCAUCAAAAGACAAGCCACUUCAAAAUGAUCAUAUUUGAAAAUACUUCUGAAAAGUUUUUACUUUUGAAAAAUCUUUGUAUGUUUUUCACUUUGGCAUGUCACUCAUUAUAAUGAAACUAACUGAAAAUCUUUAUAUUUCUCAUUUGGGCAAGUCAUCCAGGAGAAUUAAACCACUUAAAAAAUCUAUGUUUUUCACAACUAGAAAGGUUGCCCAUGAAAAUUAGAGAAAUCUUUGUAUUUUUCACAGUUAAGUUGGUCAAUCAUUAUAAUGAGAACAAUGUUGAAAAACUUUAAUUUUCUUCAUGAAUAGGUAGGUCACCUAGAAAAAUAAGACUAAUUCUGAAAAAAUUUUAACUUUUACUAGUGGGCAAGUCACCCAUGAAAAUUAAACCAAUGUUAAAAUUACUUCCAUAUAUUUCACAAACGAGUAGGUCAACUAGAAAAUAAAAUCAAUAUUGAAAUCACUUUCAUGUAUUUCAUAAAUGGAUAGAUCACCUAAAAAAUAAGACCAAUGUUGAAAUUAUUUUAAUGUAUUUCAUUAAAAGGUAGGUCACUUAAAAAUAAGACCAUUUUUUAAAUCACUUUCAUGUAUUUUAUAAACGGAUAAGUCACCUGAAAAAUAAGACCAAUGUUGAAAUCACUUUUAUGUAUUUUACAAACAGGCAGGUCACCUGAAAUAAUUAAACCACUUAAAAAAAAUCUUUGAAUUUUUUCACACAAUAAGCAGGUUAUCUGGAUUGAUUAGACCAUUUUUUAAAAAAAAAAUCUUUGUAUUUUUUUACCAACGAGCAAGUCGUUUUGAACAAUUAGAUCACUUUCAAAUUUUUUUUGAUUUUUGAACAACAACGGGUAGGUCAUCUCUAACAAUUAGACCAUUUUUGAAAAUAUUUGAGUUUUUCGUUGACAAGGUAGAUCGCAUCUCAAAUGACUGCUUUCAAAGUUUUUCAAGAUUUGAAAAACAAAAAGGGCUUUCAUGCGUAUUUUUCUUUACAAACUUACUACACAAAGCAAAAAUAAAAAAAAUCAAUGCCUUUGAAUUGUAAGUAUUGUAAAGACGAAGCAAUUGUACCUAAAUUUGACACUAUUUGCUUUAAUUUAUUUUCUUAAGUAGGUUAAAAUUUAGAAAUUAAAAGAUUUGGUACCAACAUUUAUUUAGAGGUGUGAUUUGUCAACUUGUGAGAAAAUUAAAGGCUAUAUUGUGUUUUGUUUAAACAAACUAUAGAUAAAUCUAUUUUUCAAAUUUAAUUUUUAAAUCUAAAUCAAAUUUAAAUUUGAAAAAGCAUGAGUUUAUAUUUAUUUUAGAAUUUGAGUCUCUUUAUACUUUAUAAAGCAUUAACUUUUCGUUGAGUGAAUCCACCAUGAAAGGGUGAUUUUUUCCUUAGUGGGAUAGUAUGGGUUUAAGGGUUAGAAGGUAAUUUUGCAUUUUUAGCUAUAAUAUAAUUACUAAAUGGCCCAUGGAGAGGGAAAAAAAACCUUUUAGGUUUAAGGGCUUUCCAGGUUUUAUGUAUUUUUUUGUACUAGUUAAUUACUUAAAUGUCUCUCAAAGAUAAUCUCUAUUAAUAAUAAAGGCAGGGGCACUUUUGGUUUUCCUUCAUGAUUUUUUUUUUUUGUAAUUCUCAUGUUGGGUCUGGAAGUAAUUGAGUAAAUUCAUCAAUGUAAAUUAAUUUUUAUUCAGGAGGUGGUUGGCACGUGCAAGAAAAUGGGCACCGCUUGCACUCUUUAGAUGGCAUGUGCGGCACCCUGACACCUAACUCCGCUUUCCAAGGCGGCAUUAGAUGAGUCGCGUCACCCCAUCAUAGUGGUUCGAUGUGUGCACGGUGAAGAGGCAUGGUGGAGCUCCACCAAUGUGUUUUUCCCUACCUCAUAUUUCCUCUCUUUCUUCCUAGAAAACCGUGCAAGUCAUUGCAAAAAUACAAGAAAGUAUGUCUAUUUGUUUGUUAAAUUAAAUUAGAUCCUCGUUCUUUUAAUUACAAUGUAUUUGGUCUUAAAUAAUUUAUUGAGUUGAUUUAUUUUUUUAAUUUCAUUUUUUAACACUUGAUUUUUAUAUUAAAUUUAAUCAUCAUUCUUUUAAUUACAAAGUGUUUAGUCUUGAAUUAUUUAUUAGGUUAAUUUAUUUUUUAAAUUUAUCUCUUUACACCACUUGAUUUUAUAUUGGAUUUUUAUAAAUUAUUUAGGCAUUAGUUUAGGGGAAAAAACAGAGAGAGCGCAGGGGACAAGGUUUUUAACAAUUGUCUAGCUUGAAAGGACAUUUCUCAUGCUGUUUUUUUAGAUCAAAAUUGAGGAUCACAAUCUUGUUUUUCUAAAGAAGGGUAGUUGAAAUGGUUUCAAUUGGAAUGACCGCCAUGAAAUCAUUCUUUAAAGGUUUCUAAAUAACUUUCUUGCAACGAAAUAGUCAUGAAUCAUCCGUGUAUAAGUGUGCGAAGUCCGUGAUACCCAAGCAAACCAUCGAAAGUCUAGAUCGCCUGCCUUCCCUUGAACCAAUGGCCAAACAACUGCGCUCCCUCCUUUCUUCUUGCUUGCUCUCUGUCACUGUAUCCAUAGUUCUUCUCCAUAUACCAUCUCGAGUUCAUUCAGUAACAUUGAAAUCAGAUGUUGAAGCCCUCCAGGCACUGAUGCAGGCCGUCGAUCCCGUCUCGAUUGUGAGGUAUUCCUACCUCCAUAGCUGGGAUUUCGCAUUCGAUCCAUGUGAGGCUGCAGGGUUAUUUCAAGGGAUCUUGUGCACAUUCCCUGCAGACAAAUCGGCCAACCGUAUAAUGGCAAUUGAUCUUGAUCCUGCCGGGUAUGAUGGCUUUCUGACAGCGUCGAUCGGGAAUCUGACAGAGCUUACCUCCCUUAGGAUAAGCAAAAACAACUUCCGAGGGCCAAUACCAGAAACCAUAGCCAACCUUGAAAAGCUCACCAGACUAUCAUUGACUCAAAAUCUCUUCACUGGGAUAAUACCUCAAGGAAUCAUUAAUCUCAAGCAUCUUCAAAUCUUGGACCUGUCACAGAACCACCUCUCUAGCAAAAUUCCUGCCGAUAUUACAACUUUGAGAAGCUUGGUGCAGUUGAGCUUGUCAAACAAUGCAUUGUCUGGCAGAAUUCCAGACCUCUCCGCGUUGUGGCAGCUGAGCACAUUGGAUCUUAGUAGCAACAAUCUAGAUGGAAUUGUGCCCAAUCUUCCGAUGAACUUGAGAGAAAAUUGUCGCUGAGCCAAAUGUACUAUCAGGACACCUUUCACCUGUGAGCGUCCUCCAACACCUCACAGUACUAGAUUGAGUGAUAACAGGUUUGCAGGUCUCAUUCGUCAGGAAAUUCUCACUUUGCCUCUGGUGGAACGCCUUAACAUCUCAAAUAAUCAAUUCACGGAAAUGGAGCCAUUGCCAUACCCUAGGGAAGGUUUACAGCUUCGUGUGCUGGACGCACACGCUAACAGGCUGCGUGGUCAUCUGCCCAUCAGCUUGGUUAAUAUAGCGAAUUUAUCAUCAAUUGAUCUAUCCCAUAAUAAUUUCUCUGGACGAAUCCCACUAGAAUAUGGAGCCAAACUGGGGAGUUCAUGGAAAAGCUUGCUCUUAGAAGACAAUUUUCUGAUAGGAAAUCUUCCACCGCAGUUUAUUAACGGGACAGUGGCAGUUAGAGCCAACAUUGCCCGCAAUUGCUUAAGGUGUCUACCAAACAUUCGGUUUUGCAGAGGAGGGCAAAGGCCAAACUCAGAGUGUGUCGCGCAGCAUGAUCACAGCAAUUGAGAUGUUACUGUGAAUUCACAACGGAUCAUCAAACAAAUUCCAUGUACUCAAGCUUAUAAUAAAGUCCUGUGAGGCAAGCUUCCACUCCCUAAUCAAGGGUGGGAUGCGAGUUUAAUUUUCAUCCAAAAUAUAGUUCAGUGGUUCCAAGGUGUCAUAAUCUGUAGUCUUCAUUAAUGCAUUUCCAGUGUUGAACAAAUUUCCAUUUAUCCAUAGGAUAAAUUAAUUAUCUGUAAUGUUGCAACUUACAUUUUAUCAACACAUCAAACAACAGAGACUUUCCCAGAUUUAACCAUGGUUUAGUUAAUAAUCUGAGAUAAAAAAAAAUAUAUAAUAAAACAUUUAUUUUUGUAAGUUUUGUUU